AAAUUGAAGAGUUUGAUCAUGGCUCAGAUUGAACGCUGGCGGCAGGCCUAACACAUGCAAGUCGAACGGUAACAGGAAGCAGCUUGCUGCUUCGCUGACGAGUGGCGGACGGGUGAGUAAUGUCUGGGAAACUGCCUGAUGGAGGGGGAUAACUACUGGAAACGGUGGCUAAUACCGCAUAACGUCGCAAGACCAAAGAGGGGGACCUUCGGGCCUCUUGCCAUCAGAUGUGCCCAGAUGGGAUUAGCUUGUUGGUGAGGUAACGGCUCACCAAGGCGACGAUCCCUAGCUGGUCUGAGAGGAUGACCAGCCACACUGGAACUGAGACACGGUCCAGACUCCUACGGGAGGCAGCAGUGGGGAAUAUUGCACAAUGGGCGCAAGCCUGAUGCAGCCAUGCCGCGUGUAUGAAGAAGGCCUUCGGGUUGUAAAGUACUUUCAGCGGGGAGGAAGGUGUUGCGGUUAAUAACCGCAGCAAUUGACGUUACCCGCAGAAGAAGCACCGGCUAACUCCGUGCCAGCAGCCGCGGUAAUACGGAGGGUGCAAGCGUUAAUCGGAAUUACUGGGCGUAAAGCGCACGCAGGCGGUCUGUCAAGUCGGAUGUGAAAUCCCCGGGCUCAACCUGGGAACUGCAUUCGAAACUGGCAGGCUUGAGUCUUGUAGAGGGGGGUAGAAUUCCAGGUGUAGCGGUGAAAUG
rnacentral:rRNA from 1 species